UUUGUCCGGAGACCAUAAAGCUCAUCAAGUCAAUUUCACUCACCCCUCAAACCAAACACUUCACUUAGCUUCUGUUUGAGAAAACCCAGAGACUAUACUGCAAAUUGUGAACCCUUUCCUCAUCCAUUACCUUUCUUUCUUUCUUCUGACUUCUGAUCCCAUCUGAUCUGCUUCACUUCAGAUUCAAUCAUGGCUGACAAACUUUACGGUGGAGCUUACCUCUCUCCCUUUGUUAAUACUGUUUUGGACAACAUGUCUUCAAUACUUGAAGAUGACUCUGUCCUCUAUGGAAACGACUCUGCCCUUGAGUUGCUUGGAAGGUUGCAGAAUUGUCUGUAUGAUGUUGGACCUGUUCUUGAUGAUGCUGAGCUGAAGCAGUUCACUGACAAGAAAGUGAAGAAGUGGCUUGUUGAUCUUCAUGAUGCUCUCUAUAUGGCUGAUGAUUUGCUCGACGAACUCUCAACUAAAGCCGCCAUUUCUGCCAAUCAAAGGGAAUCAGGUAACUCUUCCUCCUGGUCUCGUCUUGUUGAUUCAUAUAUUGAAGAUAGUGGGGACUUGGAAAAAAUAGUUCGAAGACUAGAGUCUGUUGUAGCACGCAAAAAAUAUCUUCGUCUGAAGGAGAGUGCCAAGGUGGACAUGUCAUGGAGAAUUCCAUCCACAUGUCUUGUUGAACCAUCGGAGAUAUGUGGCAGGAAAGAAGACAAGGAGGCGAUACUAAAACUGUUGUUGGAUGAUGAUGAUGCUGCUGAUGGUGAUUUAUCUGUCAUUCCCAUUGUGGGCAUGGGCGGAAUAGGAAAGACUACUUUGGCCCAAUUGCUUUACCACGAUGACAAAGUGAAGGAGAAUUUCAAAUUUCAAGCUUGGGUAUGUGUGUCAGAAGAGUUUGAUAUUGUCAAGGUCACCAAGACUAUAAUCGAGGCAAUAACUUCGAGUUCUUAUAAUCUGACAGAUUUGAAUUUACUUCAACAUGAUUUAAAGCAAAUGUUGUCAAGGAAAAAGUUCUUUGUUGUCUUGGACGAUGUAUGGAAUGAAAAUUAUGAUGAUUGGAAUACACUUCUAAAACCUUUUCAGAAAGGGGUUAAGGGAAGUAAAGUUCUCAUAACUACUAGAAGUAAAAAUGUGGCUUCCGUAGUGCAAACAGUUUCACCUCAUGAACUAAGUUCAUUGUCUGAUGAUGAUUGUUGGUUGGUGUUUUCAAAACAUGCACGUCUUUCAACUGUUUUUGUGGAGAAUCCAACCCUGGAAAAAAUUGGUAGAGAUAUCGUAAAGAAGUGUGAUGGAUUGCCCUUGGCAGCUCAAGCCCUUGGAGGCUUAUUGCGUGGAAAUUCGGAUGUCAGGUAUUGGAACCAUUUGUUGAAGAGUGAGAUCUGGGAACUUUCAGAUGAAAAGAUAAAGGUUGUUCCAGCAUUAAGAAUCAGUUAUUAUUAUCUUCCUUCAUACUUGAAGGAGUGCUUUGUUUAUUGUUCCUUGUAUCCCAAGGACUAUAAAUUUGAAAAAAAUGAACUGAUCUUGUUAUGGAUGGCGGAAAAUUUUUUACAACCAGUAGGAAAAAAGACUUUAGAAGAAGUUGGUGGUGAAUAUUUUGAUGAAUUAAUUGCAAGAUCAUUUUUCCAACCUCAUAAUACUCUGGAAAAGGUUUUUGUAAUGCAUGAUCUCAUACAUGAUUUGGCUAUGAUUUUUGCUGGAGGGUUCUAUUUUAGAGCUGAAGAACUUGAGAAUGCAGUUGAGGUUGAUAUUAAAACUCGUCGUUUGUCACAUAAUGCCAAAGGCAAUUAUCCAAUGUCAAAAUUUUUGGGAGUAUGUGAUAGAGUAAAACAUACGAGGACAUUUCUUGAAGUUAAUUUGGAGUCAUGGAUCCCAUUUAACAUGGAAAAUGCACCUUGUAUCAUGUUGUCACAGUUGAAGUACAUGAGAGCUUUGUCGUUCAAAAGCUUUCCUCUUGAGUCAGUGCCUGAUUCAAUAUGUGAGUUGAUUCAUUUGCGUUAUUUGGAUCUGUCUGAGACCUACAUUGUGUCACUGCCGGGGUCUUUUGGUAGUCUGUACAAUUUGCAGACUUUGAAGCUAUUUCGAUGUAAAAAACUGAAAAUGCUUCCGGUUGGCAUGAAAGAUCUUGUAAAUUUGCGCCAUCUUGAUAUUAGAAAGACUCAUCUGUCUGAGAUGCCAGAAGGCAUGAGCAAAUUGAAAAGCUUGCAGUUUUUAAGCGACUAUGUUGUUGGGAAGUGUGAAGAGAACAAGAUCACAGAAUUGGGAGGACUUGCAAAUCUACAACAAUGUAUUUCCAUUGCCAAAUUGGAGAAUGUGGUCAAUGGCAGGGAGGCUUCGAUGGCAAGAAUGUUUGAUAAGGAUGGCAUUAGCUCUUUGCUCUUGAGGUGGUCAUCGGAUAAAGACGAGAAUACAGCUGAUUCCCAAAUAGAAAGAGAGAUACUUAACAAGUUACAACCUCAUAGUAAUUUGAAAGGACUAGAAAUCGUGGGUUACAGGGGUACAACAUUUCCAGAUUGGUUGGGACAUUCUUCCUACCACAACAUCACCAAAAUAAUAUUGCAUAGUUGCAGGAAUUGUCGAAUGCUUCCUUCACUUGGGCAGUUGCCCUUUUUGAAGAACCUAUACAUUUUAGAGUUUGACAGUGUGGGGAUUGUGAAUGCUGAGUUAUACUUUAACCAGAAUGGUGAAUCUUGUUUGGAGACACCACCAUUCCCAAUGCUUGAAACUCUUUGGUUUCAAUCAAUGCCUCACUGGAAGGAGUGGCGUUCAUUGGAGUUCAAUGCAUUUCCUCGACUUAGGGAGCUUACCAUAAGGGAGUGUCCGAUGUUGAGAGGAGAUUUGCCGAAUCAUCUACCAUCUUUGCAAUCACUUACAAUUUUCAAUUGCGAGCAGCUCAGUUGUUGUCUUCCAAGUGCUCCUGCAGUUAGCACUCUAUACAUUGAUGGUGGCAAUAAAGUGAGAAUUUCGGAGCUUCCUCCUUCACUGCGUCGUCUAUCAAUUGAAGGAAACCAUAAAAUGGAGUCCGUGGUGGAUGUCAUUACGCACACGAAACUGAUUUACCUCACGUCUGUAUCCAUCUCAGGUUGUUCCUCCCACAUAUGGUUUCCAGUGAGUGCUAUUCCCCCAUCACUACAAGAGUUGAGGAUCGAGGGUUGUAGAGAAUUAGAAUUCCAAAUGGAUGGGCAACAUCACUCGCUGCAGGAACUAUCAAUAGAGAACAGCUGUGAUUCAGUUACAUCCUUCUCGUUGUUGGAUGCAUUUCCAAAUCUCAAGAAUGUUGAAAUCAUAAAGUGUGAAAAGAUGGAGUCUAUUGUGGUGUCACGCUCACUUUCAAGUCUCCGUUCUUUAUGGAUCAAGAAUUGUAGGAGUUUGAAAUCCAUAUGGACGAUAUGGAUGGCAACACCUCAGCUAGAUGAACUCGGAAUAUUGGGUUGCACAGAGAUGGAUUUGUCUGCUACAGGAGAUACACACCGUAGCUUGAGAUCUCUUGCCAUCAGCUACUGCCAGAAACUGGUGAGCUCUGCACCAUUCAUGAAUUCGCAAUUUCAUGGGCUUACAUAUCUUUGGAUUUCUGGUGAACAUGAUGAGAGUGUGAAGUGCAUCCCAAAGGAAGGUUGGUUGCCUGCCUCGCUUGAGUUUCUCACACUGUUUCACAUGAAAAGUGUGGAGACGUUGGAAUGCAAGGGACUUGCCCACCUCACCUCCCUCCAGAAACUACGUAUUGAGCAUUGCUCCAAGUUGAAGAAUAUGGAGGGAGAAAAGCUGCCUGCCUCUCUAAUACAACUCAUCAUCUUAGGAAGCCCUUUGCUGUCCAAACGAUGUGAGAAGAAGGAUCCACAGCUUUGGCCCAAAAUCUCCCACAUCCCCGCCAUUCAAGUUGAUGACACAUGGAUUUGAUUAUCCAUCCACCCAACAAUUUCAAUCAUUGCAAUACACCGGCUGAUUGCUGAGAAAUAAGACAGUAAUAAAAGCAACUGAGCAACAAGGGAGACCCAUAAUCAUGGAUACAAUUGAGCAAACUGACCAUUGCAUUGGAAAAUUUAAUUCAUUAGCUUCUUUAUUUUCUCUUGGAACCUACCCUUUUGAAGAUUGAGACUUUUGGUUUGGUUUCUACUUUCUAGAAACCUCAUGGUGAUGCUCCUUUUUGGAAGAUUCAUGUUAGCACAUUCUUUUGCAGACAUAUAUUUACUUUUUGGGAUUUUUGAAUUUUUUUUUAGAUGUAUCAUGUCAGUUAUAUUGGUGACUUACCUUGGCGUUUAUGUAUUGGAGGAGUGUGAUUAUUGUGUUGCACCAUUGAGCCUUUGUGCACCUUUUUUUCUGUUUUAUUGUGUAU